UAACGCGAAGAACCUUACCAGGGUUUGACAUACUGGUGGUAGGAAUGCGAGAGCAGACUGACCCUUCGGGGAGCCAGUACAGGUGCUGCAUGGCUGUCGUCAGCUCGUGCCGUGAGGUGUUAGGUUAAGUCCUGUAACGAGCGCAACCCUCAUCGUUAGUUAUACGUGUCUAACGAGACCGCCGGUGAUAAGCCGGAGGAAGGUGGGGAUGACGUCAAGUCAGCAUGGCCUUUAUAUCCUGGGCUACACACACGCUACAAUGGCCGGUACAAUGGGUCGCGAAGCCGCGAGGCGGAGCCAAUCCUCCAAAGCCGGUCUCAGUUCGGAUUGUAGGCUGCAACUCGCCUGCAUGAAGUCGGAGUUGCUAGUAACCGCGCGUCAGCAACAGUGCGGUGAAUACGUUCCCGGGUCUUGUACACACCGA
rnacentral:rRNA from 1 species